GACGAACGCUGGCGGCGUGCUUAACACAUGCAAGUCGAACGAAGUGGCGAACGGGUGAGUAACGCGUAUCAACCCGCCCUUCCGAGGGGGACAACAGUUGGACACGACUGCUAAUACCGCAUACUGAAGGAGGGGCUUGCGUCUGAUUAGCUAGUUGGGGGGGUAACGGCCCACCAAGGCGAAGAUCAGUAGCCGGGUUGAGAGGAUGAACGGCCAAAUUGGGACUGAGACACGGCCCAGACUCCUACGGGAGGCAGCAGUGGGGGAUCUUCCGCAAUGGACGAAAGUCUGACGGAGCAACGCCGCGGUAGUGAUGACGGCCUUCGGGUUGGAAAGCUCUGUUAAUCGGGACGCGGUACCGGAAUAGAAAGCCACGGCUAACUACGUGCCAGCAGCCGCGGUAAUUC
rnacentral:rRNA from 1 species